rnacentral:rRNA from 1 species
AUACGGAGGUGGCGAGCGUUAAUCGGAAUUACUGGGCGUAAAGCGUGCGCAGGCGGUUAUGUAAGACAGAUGUGAAAUCCCCGGGCUCAACCUGGGAACUGCGUUUGUGACUGCAUAACUAGAGUACGGCAGAGGGAGGUGGAAUUCCACGUGUAGCAGUGAAAUGCGUAGAGAUGUGGAGGAACACCGAUGGCGAAGGCAGCCUCCUGGGCCAGUACUGACGCUCAUGCACGAAAGCGUGGGGAGC